UUUCCCUCAGGAUAGCUGGAGCUAGCGUGCUAGUUCUAUUGAGUAAAUCCCAGGAUUAGAGGCCACAGGGGUAUAACUUCCUUGAAAUAUCCUCAAACAUUAAAUAGGUAGGACAACGCAACUGCUUUGUUGAGCCGUGCUAUGCAAUCAAGAGAUCCAAGCGGUCCAUUUUUGGCAAGUAGAACUUACGAUGUAGGAUGAAUCG
rnacentral:ncRNA from 1 species